rnacentral:lncRNA from 1 species
GGCAAGUGUUUCAAGGAGGAGUUUUUUAUACUCUAAUUUGGAUUUGGCUUCUGCAAGUUUGAAACUAGUAGAGGUUUUUUGUUGGAUAAAUUUUUCUGUAAAAGGUUAUGGGGAAAUCUUAGAAAUCCAUUCAAGGACUUUGGAUUUGGUAGCUUUCUCUGGGUUAAAUUCUUGCCACCAUUUUACUUUGAACUUUCUUCCAAGGGCAUCAGGAAAUGGAGGAUUUUGGAUAAGAAUAUAUUCC